UACGGAGGAGGCAAGCGUUAUCCGGAAUUAUUGGGCGUAAAGCGUCCGCAGGUGGCACCUCAAGUCUGCUGUCAAAGACCGGGGCUUAACCCAGAAAGGCAGUGGAAACUGAAGUGCUAGAGUGCAGUAGGGGUAGAGGGAAUUCCCGGUGUAGCGGUGAAAUGCGCAGAUAAUCAGGAGGAACACCGGUGGCGAAGGCGGGUUGCUGGGCUGACACUGACGCUGAGGCGCGAAAGCUAGGGUAGCAAACGGG
rnacentral:rRNA from 1 species